UUAUUUAAUGAAACAACUAUGACGUCACUUGUGCUGAAGAUUAGUGAUGAAGUUUCAAGCUAGAGUGCCAUCAAAUUAAGCAUAGCCAAGAUUAUAUUGCCUAAUUGAGGUUUUACAUGUGUUCUUUAGGAUUCAUGGUUGACUUGGUCAAGUUACAGGUCAACUCAGACGAGAUUUCAUGCUGAAGCACAUGACAACACAUCUUCCUCUAGGUGUUGCAUGUGUAUAUAUGAACCUAAAUUGCCUAUUCAUGAAUGUUAUCUUGAAAGAAGGUUUGUUUGAAGAGCCUGUAGUUUAAGUUUAUUCUUUGUAUGGUGUCAUGUAGACACUUCGCAUAUGUGCUAGGUGUCCCUAUGUUUUCAUGGAGAUUAUUUGUAAUGAAUACGUCGGCCUCUGUCAAAAUGAAGAUAGUAUACGAUACAUAUGUGUAAAUAUGUGAUUGUAUCAAAACUUGUUGACAACUAGUCUAAAAUGACUAGUUGUAGCUUUCACCAAAAUUACAUUUAUGCCAUUUUACAAGAAAGAAAGCAAGAAAAAGUUGUGAAAUUUCACUUCUAAGUUAUAGAUAUUUUAUAUAAUAUUAAUACUAUCAAUCUGCCACUUGUUGAGAAUUAAAGUUACAUGUAUGCAGUGAUGAGAAUUCCAAUUGAUGCAAUAACAGUCCAUUCUUCGAGUGCACGGAGUUCCAUACCAUGUUGUGCUGUGGCCAGAUGUCCAAAGUAUUUGUGUGCUUAUUGCUCAGAAGUUUAUCUAGGUAGUAUUAGUAUUUCUGAUAUCUCUUCUUUGCCCUUUCCCUUUCUCCCCUUUCAAGUCAACUCAAUGUUAUUUUCACUGUAAUCAACAAUUUUCUGCUAAAUGCAUUAAUUUCCUUAGUCUGCAUUGCUACCUAAAAAACAUUUUGCUAUCCAACUAUUAUUCAAAUCCUUUCACUUCAAAUUAAGAUUCCUAGCCUUGGAGAGCUGACUUUCACUUUCCUUAACAAAACAAUCUUGUCUCAUUCUCCAUAUCCUUCUCUAUAAAUGAUAUUUUUCUUUAUAUGUGAAAUUUGAAAUCUUCAGUUACCUAAAAAAGAAAACUUCAUAUAAUGCAUAAAUUUGAAUUUCAGCCUAUUUCCACUGUCUUUUUUCAGUACACUUCUGCUCCUACAUCCUCCUCAUUACUAUAGUCAUUCUUAAUCUUUUCUUUUCUAAAACUUUUCCUUUUUUCCCUCUACCCAUUGUCAAAGAGAUCCUCCUUUGAUCUGAAAUGGAAAAGAUUUGGAAACACCCUGAACAUGACACUUCAUGUUGAUGGUAAAAUAAAAUUCAUGAAUCAACCUCUAAUAGAUAAUGUACGGAUGGUAAACUGAGGUUUAUUUUUCACCUAGUUGUUUCCUUCCAUUAUAGAAGGAGGUGUUUUCUUUGUAAUUGGUUUAGUUCUCCUGCAAAUAAAUUUAUGAGAUCAAGAAAUCAUCUGGAAGUCUUCUAUGUACCUUAUCCAUAGUUAAGAUGGUGGCUUACUAUCAGUGAAGAAGCUUGGAUAUUCUGGCAGGGGGUUUUCUGAAUAUAUGACCAAUGGAGGAGAGUUGUCCUACCAACAACUUUGUGGGGAGAUUACAGUAGAGUUCAAUGAUUGUUCAAAACAAGUAAGUUACAUUUUAUGGUUUUAAGUUAUAACGGAUUGUGUUCAUAUAUGCUAUAUGGUAAGUAAUCUGAAGUCCUUUUGUUUGAUAGGUUCUAGAAAUGGAAUCGCUGCUUUUGAUGCCAGAUCUCUGUCGUGACGAUCUUGCCGGCCUUCUACGGGAUGUUCAGGCACAAGAAAAACAAAAACUGCAUUUGGUAACUAGUUUUAUUGCACAUUUCUCUCCAUUCUCAUUGGCACAUUUGUUCUUCUCUCCAUUCUCAUUGGCACAUUUGUUCUAGUCUGUUUUCUAGAUUCUAAGCACAAAAAAUGAAGUAAAAUGAUAGAACAUAAUCAGUGGAAUGAACCAGCUUCCAUUUUUUGACAUGAAAAUGAUUGCUUAACCCAUUCAGGUGGUGCAUACUUUAGUGGAGCUUACAUGCCAUGUUAGCUUCAAUAGCAGUAAUUUCAAGUGCUUCAACCGUAACUUUAAACAGCAAGCCUUAGUCGAUCUACAAUGAAUCAACUUUAGUGAUCAAGGUUUGAUCCAUUAGAGUUUUGCCUGAAUUUUAGUAUCGGCACCAAAGUUAUCAAAAUGCUUGGGUGAUCCUACGUGCUGGUCCCUUGAAAUGCCCAAGUGGAAUGCCUAGGCGACUAGACAGGUGCAUAGAGUUCAAAAACUCCCAAGAAUUAAUAAGACUAAUAUUAUAAUACUCUACAAUUAAAUUAUCACAAAUACCUAUAGGAUGUGUUUGGUUCGCGACUGGAAUCAAAAUCAGAAUAGACUGCAAUAGGAAUUGGAAUAGCCAUAUUCCCUAAUACAUUUGGUUCAUGUCGUGAAUCGAAAUCGGAAUCAGAAUCGGAUGGCUGAUUCCCAUUGUUGCUGUUUGGUUCAUUUAAAGGCAAGAAUCGAAAUUAGCCCAAAUUUUCAGUUCCACCCUUGAACUAAAAAUCUUCAAAAACUGAUUGUUUUCAUUUAUUUUUGAUAUAUUUAUCUUAUUUGAUAUUAAAAAUACACAUCAAGGGACUUGAAAUUGAAUACAAUUUAUUAAUUUGGAUAAUCUAACUCAUAGGCUAGUGCGCCAGUCUAUGCAGGUGGUUCUCUCCGACUUGGCCCCAAAACUCUUAGCAAUAAGCAAUCAUUUAUCAAAGACAUCUUAUAAAGAAAAUUGUGUAUAGCAAAAUAUGAUAACCAGCUAGAUUUUUUGGUAAAGAAUGUAUUAGUUAGAAAGAUUGUAUAGUUGCUGAUUUCUGUAACUGGAUCUAAUCACCGAGAACCAAGGCUACCAUAGUGGCAAUUGCUCUAUAUAACAACAUAUAAAGAUGGACUUUCAUAAAAUCUAGUAAACUAGAAAAGCAAAGAACCUAUGUAGCUGAGGGAGCCGUUUGCACACAAGGCCACUGUACUUUCUUUAUACGGAACAACCUCAUGCAUUUACGUCUACAUAACAUAUUUUCCAAAACUACUGACUCAAUUGCAUUUGAUCUGAUGAACAUUAUGAUAUGGCCUAAAUAACGAUAAGACAAGAAGCAACUGGAUGAUUCAUGUUGUGAACUGCAUUUAAGAUGGACAUAAUCAGCAAAAGGAGAUGUCAAUGCAUCAUCUGAUAUGUUUUCAGGGUUGAAGGGGUGUUUUUUAAACAUAGACAAGACAUUAUUUUUAACUCUAGCAUGUGGGGUGUUUGAAUGAUUCAUACAUGUAUGACUACUGAAUACAUCAAUUAAAAAUGCUCUCAACCCAAAUGCUUUGAUUUGCAAUAAUUUUAUUUAGCAAAAUAUGAAGAAUAAAAUGAAAAAUCAAGAUGUCACAUAUUUCACUAUCAACUAAUCAUCACCAAGGUAGGCCGAACCGAACUGAACCGAACCGUCCGGUUCAGCCUAUACCAAGCCGACCCGGUGGGGAACCUGGUCGGUUCGUCCAUUAAAAUUGGUUCCGGCCUUGAAUCGGCCGGAACUUGUUCCAAACCACUUGGAGUCGGCCGAACCGGACCGAAUCGGCCGGAAAAGGCCUGAAUCGGACCAAACCGGCUGGAACUGCUCAAAAUCUUUCAGAACUGGCUAGUUUUGUUCAAACUUGGUGUGAACCAUCCGGUCUGCACCGAGUCAACCCGGCUUGGAACCGGGCCCCGUCCCCCUUUUAUUCUUUUGUUAGAAGGUGCUGGGAAGGCCGCUUCUUCUCUGCUUCGUUUAGUGUCUUAAGGCCUAAACGGCUCUCUUUUCCCUCCAAUUUGCAAAAUCACACCAAUUUAGCACGAUUGAAGAAAGGUCCAAGCCUAAAUAAGGUGUGCUUUCUCUCUUUUAUCUCAUUUUCUUUCUUUAUUUAGAGACGGAUAGCUCGAAAAAAUAACUCGAAAUUUGCACAAUAAUAAGUGAUCAUGCCAAAAUUUUUGAUUUGAGCUUAAUUUUAUUAUAUGUUGUAAAUUUAUCGAUGAUCUACACAAUAACAUAAAAAAUUUUAAUUUUUAGAUUAUAUAUAAUUUUAAAAUUAAAAUAUAUUUUGAUUAAAAUAAAAUAUAACAAAUAAAUNNNNNNNNNNNNNNNNNNNNAAUAAUAAGUGAUCAUGCCAAAAUUUUUGAUUUGAGCUUAAUUUUAUUAUAUGUUGUAAAUUUAUCGAUGAUCUACACAAUAACAUAAAAAAUUUUAAUUUUUAGAUUAUAUAUAAUUUUUAAAAAUUAAAAAUAUAUUUUUGGAUUAAAAUAAAAAUAUAACAAAAUAAAAUAAAAUAAAUAUAAAAUCAGAAGCGUAUUUAGGGGCAUACAAACUACUUUCCAGCAAAAUUUGGUGUCUAUUUAUUCAAUAUUUAAUGUGAACAUGCGCAUAGUGGUCUAGGCCUAAAUUUAAAAAAAUUGAGAAAUAAGUAGCCUUUAAUGCAUGUCCACGGGUCUAGAAAAAUAUGUAGCAUCCAUUGCUGGAUUCUAUAUGAAUUUGAGCUGAAAUUAAUUUUUUAAAAUAUUUAUAUUUAAUUUUUUUAAUUUAAAAAUAAUUAAAAAUAUAUAAUUAGUACAAAAAUGAUGAAAAAUUAGUAGUACAUAUUAUAUAAUUCAGAAGUAUUUUUUGAAGUAGAAAACAUAUUUUUCUGAAUUUAUGACAUUUAAACAUAUUUUUAAAUUUUAAAAUUAUUAAAAAUAUAUAAAAUAUAUGAAAAAUUAUUAUGUAUUGAAUAAAUCAGAUGUAUAUUUGAGGUAAAAAAUUAUCUUCAUUGUAACGAAAUUUUGCUAUUUUUAAAUAAUGGAUAAAUUGACGUACUUGAUAAACCCGUAGGAAUGGAACCAUCAAAGAAAAAAACGAGCCAGAACAUGACAUUAGUUGGGAUCGUGGGCAAAUAUUCUCAGGUCGGCAUCAUUGCAAGUGUAAUUGGCGCAACACAAAAUUAAAGGGAGGAGGGGUAACCAGAUUGAAGCAAUACUUAGCUGGUUGUUACUCCAACGUAUAUGUGCAGAAAAUAUCCAUAGGAGGUUUGACAGCUGAUGAAGAAGCACUUCGUUGAUUUCAGAGUAGCGAAGGAGAGGGUUUCCAAGAAGAAGACGGAGGUGGACCUCCGAGCGGCAGAGCCACCUUUCUAUUACUUUAGGAAGACAGUGGAGGCGUCCGCUCUAGAUGACGAGGGAGUAUAGAUCCAGACUGUCAUGUAGGCAAGCCUGAAUGAUUAAUGGCAACAGGAUAGGUGGCCAAGCAUAGGGCUCGAUUUGGGCUCUCAUACUACGAGUGCAGCAGAUCCAGAGUUCAGGAGGACUUCAGUCAGAAAGGCCGUCAGUAGAGGCGGUAGCCUUAUUGCAUCUAUGCUAAGGAUUUUUGGUAGCAAAAAGAGGUCAUUCAGAAAAAUUCCAUCUAGAGCAGCCAUAUAUGAUUUAGAUCAACAUGCCUUUCCUAAUAGGAAUUUGAAGUAGCAGAGGAUUGACGCAAUGUUGAAGAAGGAUAAGAAGAAUGAUAUGUGGCGAGCUAUUGGAUCUUGGUUUCACUUCAGCAACAUCCCAGCGAAUGUGGCAGACAAUAUGUAUUAUAGGUUUGUCAUUUUUCUCAUAUAGGUUUUUGAUGCUAGUGUAGAUCCUCCAGGACAUCUAUGGUGAGUUUCUUGACAAUAAUAAGGAGCUAAAGAAGUGGAUUGCCUCAUACAAGAGCAACUGGUGUAUAUAUGGACUGAUGGUGAUAUGUGAUGGUUGGAUCGGUCCUACCAGGCGGAUCAUUACAAGAGCAACUUCUUGACAUAUUGUGAUACGAAGAUUUUCUUCCACAAGUCGAUUGAUGCUUCCAAUCAGGUGCACGACACCACGUACAUCCUCAAAUUGAUAAAGAAGGUGAUUAAUCACAUAGGAGAGGAGAAUGUCGUGCAGAUUAUUACUGAUAAUAGGCCACAAUAUAAGGCCAUUGAAAAAAUUUUGGAGCGACUGACAUAUUUUCUGGACCGCAUGUGCUAAACAUUGUAUUGAUUUCAUGUUGAUGGAAAUUGCGAAGAUUCAUGGGGUGCAGCAAACAGUGAAGAUAGCCCAAACUAUCACUAGAUAUAUUUAUAACCAUACAUAAAUUCUUUCACUUAUGAGAAGGUAUGCAGAGGAAGAGAUCUUGAGACUAGAAGUCACGGUUUUUUACGAACUAUGUUUCACUUGAUAGCCUUCUAGAGAGGAAAGCAAACCCUACAUCGGAUGUUUGUCAGUCCGGAGAGGCAGAAAAGUAGAUAUGCAAGGGCCGACACUGAAUGAAGCAUUGUCAAGGACUUAGUGACGAGACAGACAUUCUGGCAGCGGGCUAUUACGAUAGUAAAGGCUAUCUGACCAUUAUAUGAAAUGCUUCAGACUGCGGAUAGCAAAUGGUACCUCCAGAUGGGCUCCUUGUAUCAUAUGAUGGAGAGGGCAAAGAUUCAGAUCAAGAAGGCAAAUCCAACAUAUGCCUAGGAGUACAUCGACAUCAUUGAAUGGCGGUGGGACUAUCAGAUGGAUAAAAACUUGCAUCUAACAAGUAAACAAGAACAUUAAAAAUUAGAUUGCUCCUAUACUUGUAUAAUUUUACUAAGACAAUAACGAACUCUAUCUGCACAAUACUACCUGAACCCAAGGUUUCAAUAUACCGUAGCUGGAAUCGAUAUGAAUGACGAGCUUCUAGCCGCUCUGCGUAAUAUAAUUUAUAAGAUGGAGCUUGAUUUGGAAGUUGCGGCCCUAUAUCUAGAAAAGGUAAGUUAAUAAGUGAUAUGCAUAAGUUAAUUGGUAUCUUCAAUUAUUAACAUAUUACCACAUUGUUCUUUUUUAUAAAACAAAAUAUUUAGAGAGGGCACUGAUAAUUUUGGAGUCUCAGCAGCUGUCGUAAAAAAAGUAUGAAUCCAGAUAUAUUACACAUCGGGAGGACAUUUACCUGACGUUGGAUAGUUACUAAUAUGAUACUAUCUUAUAUAUAAUUUUUUUAAUAUUUUUGCAGCUGAAUGGUGGAUUUAUUUUGGUUUAUCCGCAAAAAAUCUUAAGUGGCUGGCUAUUCGGAUUCUCUUCUAAACGGUCUCUUCGAGUGGCUGUGAGCAUAACUGGUCCACUUUCGCUCUCAUCCAUAGCAAGCAAAGGAACCGUUUGACACAGAAGCGCCUCAAUGAUCUUGUAUAUGUUUACUACAAUCUGAGGUUGAGACUAAAGUGCAUUCAGGAGGAAGUAGAGCUAAACUAUACAAAUCUGAUAAAUAGUGCUUUCGUUGAUGAUGAGGAUGAUCCUAUGAUUGGAGGGCUUAUGGGCCAGUAGCAGGGGCCGGAGUUUGAUGAGCGAGGAUCGCUUCCAGGACCAGCCAGUUUCGUAGCCAGCUAGGGUCGAUGCAGGACAAUGGAUAGAGAGCAAUAUUCUACGCAUCCUUCUAGCUGAUCAGCCACAUCCAUGGAAAAGCUGGUCACCGCAUGACUUCUUGUCUGAGACAUACUUUUAGAAUUAUGAUCGAGAGAUGCUUAGACAAAGCUACUACGCUAUCCAAUCAACUCGGUCAGGAGGGUGAUAUACAUUCUUCCAACAUAACCAGACAGAGGGGCACGAAGAAUAAGUGGGCAAUGAGUGGCACAAAAGGUAAGAAGGCAGCGAGUGGCACAAAAGGUAAAUAGGCAGCAAGUGGCACGAAGGGUACGAAAGCUGCCCAGCACCCCAAAAAAGGAAACAAAAAGCACAUGUAGCCUCAAUGAAGAGUGUGGAGGAGCCAGUUCACUCAGAUUUAGAUAUCAUGAGCAGUAGUUCUAGUGGUCAUGAAUCUGCUGGCCAGAGAGAGUGGAGGAUAUGAGACCACUAUUUAUAAGUCACAGUCGCAAGGUUGUCUUCAAUUCAGCGAUGAGUUCUAGUUUACGCAAGCUAUGCAGGAUAAGGAUCAUGGUACACGAUAUGGUGGAGCCCGCGAGAAUACGAUUGUAUAUAAAAGACGGGCUCUUCGAGAUCAUCCAGGAGAAUAUAAUGCAGCUGCAGAUAACCUCGCACGUGGAGUAGGAUCCAUAGACUUAUCAGGUUCCGAGUCGUAUACUAGAUUCUAUUAUCCGCAGCCACAAGCAGCUUAUGAUUCAUACAGAUAUGGAUAUGGAUAUGGUGCGUCUGAGGCAUCUUCCCGUGGCUUCUAUCUUGUAUAGCUCAGAGCAUCUUACAUGUCGGAUUUUGCUGCGGGCUUAUUCGGAUGAGCUCCUUUAAAGUCAUUUUAUCAGCUAUUUUAUCAGUUAGAGGACACAUUUCAGAGCCAGAGCUUUAGAGAGAGAUCCGAGAGUGCUUAUAAUUUGGAGCGUGUUUUUUAUGGAAUGAACAUACAAGACUACAAUGCCGCUUGGUUAAAGAAGUGGGCUGAUAUGCCUCCUGACUAUGCUAAUGAUUCAGAUAUCUAUGAGAGGCAUCACCAUUCGAUGAGAUUUUAGAAAUCGGUAUGUAUGUUGUACUUUAAAUAUAUGUAAUUGAUUAUAUUAUUUUAUACUUUUCAUCUUAUUACUUGAUUUGAGAAUAUUUCAUGUUGCUUCUUGUAGUAUGCAACAUCUCACUAAUCAUUUUAUGUUUUGUAUCAUUUUAAAACAACAAGAUGCAUCAUUUAGGUUAAAAACAUCAAAAUAACAUCAAAAAAUAUCAAAUUAGAUUUAAAAUUAUUGAAAAAGUUGAAAAAGAUUGAUUACCAAUUAACUGAACUUGGAACGCCCAAGUGUAUCGUAUGUUGGUACGAUACUGAAUUGGUGUUGUAUCAAUCGGUACAGGUCUCAGUACCGGUUCAAUGCACCUGGAUCAUCACGGCACAUGAAGUAACCCACGACAACUUACGACUAGCUAAAAGCCAGGCUAUCCUCAUACAAAAAAGCAUAGUUGAAUAAAUAAUAAAACAAGCACCAUAUAUCUGCUAUAAUAGAGACUUUGAAGAAUCUAUCAAUCUGUGCACUUAUUUAACUGAAAGAAACAAUAAAAACUAGCAUCAUAUAAUUAUUACAGUAGAGACUUCGAAGUGUCCAUCAAUCUAUACUCUCCUAUAACUUAAUAAAUCAUAAAACCCAACAUCAUAUUACAGCUAUAAUAGAGAUUUUGAAGAAUUCAUUAAUCCAUUAAUCCCAUUAUAAAGUUGAAAUCAUUGCUUGUAUACCAAUUCACCAUAGCUGAUCAGGAAAGAAAGAUCUUGAAAUCAUAAACGACAUGAAUUGGGGCAAAAAGAACUUUAUGCUAACCAAAAGAGGUAUUUUGCUCAAUAACGAUUGUUAUCGUUCAGAUCUGGCUAUUGUUUUUAAGAUUUCCCUUUCUUGGCCUUGCCACAGCUGGUCGAAGAGGCCACAAGUUCAAGAGCAAUCUAAAUAGAAAUCCAAAUCAAAGAAGCAACAAAUUAAGAUCGGAUCAAAGAGAAAAUUAAUUAAAAAUUCAACAAAAUCACUCAAUUAAUUGAUGGUAAACAAAAUUAAGACAAAUACUUAGAGUGAUUGGAGGAAAAUAGAAUCAAUAAGGGAAAAAACGGUAAAAAAGAAAGCGAAAAUCAAUACCCAUGAUCUAGACCUUGGAGAGGUGGCACAAAGCCUCUGAGCCCUAGAAAUGGAGAAGACUGAGGCCGAAACUGCUCGGAUUGGAGAUUGGGAUGGGGAAAUGGGGACAGGAAGGGGGUUUUAGGGAUUGAUGGGCGAUAUGAUUUGGAGAAGCGGGUGUGAGGGUUUUGGUCAUUCGAGUGGGAGGAGAGCGGGCGCAAGGAGAUCCACCGCAACCGGAUCUUCUAGGGUUUCUCUUGUGUGAGAAGGGGCUUUUGAACACUACUGAGAUGGGACAUGUGGCGUGUGGGGCAUGUGGGGGUAGGAUGGGUUUUUUGGAAAAUCAAUAAAUCAUAAGGAUAUUUGGAAAAUAAAUAUUUUAAUAGUAGAAUGACAUUUGAAUCCUUGGGGGAGAGUCGGAAUUGGAUUUUGGGGGCUUGGGGCAUUUCCAUUUUCCUUCAGCAUUGGAAUCGAAAUAGGACUCUCCCCCAACCAAAUGGCUGGAAUAGGAGUCACUCAUUCCCAUUGCCACUCCAGACCUCAACUCCCCCCAACCAAACAUGCUCGUAUUUUGUUCAUAGAAAAUAUAAAAAGACAUCAUACUCAUAAUAGUGGUUGUUAACUAGACUAACCCAAAUCCUAUAGGAUUUAUGAUCCUAGGGAUAAAAUAUCCGUCGUAGAUCCUGUGGACUGUGUGGAUGGCUGAACCUCAAGAUUAGAAGGCAAUGGGGAGUUGACGAUCUUGCAGGAAAAUAAAGUCCUCAAGUGGACACUAUUGAUAAUUUUGCGAUCAUUAGGCUCCCAUUCUUGGCCCCUUUCUCGUAUCUAGGGUACUCAGCGCCUAAGUCUUCGACCAUUGCCUCUUGUUGCUACCUCUAACCUUUUAUUAUUGCCAUCUUUGGCCACCUCUUCCGACCUCCAACCACCACCUCCAAUCUUUGAUCUUGGGAUCUGGACAAAGUAAGCCCGCACCCCUCUCUCUCUCUUUCUCACCUCGACUGCUGUUCAAACCCUUCUCCUUUGCCUUCCCCAACCCCUCGCCCACCUUAGUUGGCCUUCGGCAAAGGCCCUUCCACCUCUUCGUUUUCUCCUCUCUCGAUCUUGAAGUUUGUUUUGCUUGUGUUGCCAAGGGGAGGAAUCAGUAAGCAAACAUGAUGGGUUUAAAAGUUCAAUAUCUAUGAUAAACAAAAGAAAAUAUGUAUAUUAUUUGUUUCAUGAUAUUUAUCAUUGUAGACUCCAAAGAAGCCUAUUUUACAUGUAGCAAAAUAAAGAAGCCUAUCUUACAUGGAGGGUUGUAUGCAUGUCCCUAUGUAGGUAGAUACAUAGAUGUAAGUUAGAAUGCUUGUUUUUCUCUAUGCUUGCCAAUUCUUUGAUGAAAUGUCUCAAUUGGAUGCAUCUCUUUGGAGUCAAAUAAUAGUUGUAUUAGUAACAAUGGGAUCAUAAGCAAGUUAGAAGGUGUAUACUGAAAUAGUCAAGAUAAUCUUAGAAUGUACAAUUAUAUUUUCUUGUGAUGUUGGCUUAGACAUCCUGAUUGUUGUUUUAAAAAUUUUAGAUUUUAGUAGAUGCACAUUCAGUGUAUGAUAUGAAAUGAGUCAAAGAUUCUUGAACAUCCAUCUAAUUAGAAAAAUUUGGACCUUGGAGUUUGUUUGGCUUGUGGCUUUACCAUUUGAGACAUAUGCAUAAUUGAUGUUUAUAGAAUGCUAAUCUAGAAAUUAAAUAGAGCCCUAGCUCCACUGCUAUGUACUGCUACAGACCAAAGUCCUAGCUUUGUUUCUACAUGUAAUUGUGCAUGAAUUACCUCUCAGCUGAAUGUUAGCUCCCCACCCCCCCCCACAAAACAAAAAAAAAUAAAUCCUGCAAGGAUUCCAGUUGGAUUCAUGUGAUCAUAAAUUGCAGUGAUUUAUACAAUGUUAUUAUAUAUUUGUUAUGUUGCACAUGCUAAUGCACAUGUGUCCAAUGAAAAGUAAUGAUUCAUGAAUAUGUAAUAUUUAAUUAUUGAAAAUGUAAAAUAUCACUAAUUAUUUAAAAAUUAGUUUAGUACUGAAAAUCUUAAUUUUGAAAUCGUAAACUCUUUGUAAUAUAUCAGGGUCAUUGUUCUGCUUUAAGAGUCCAUGAUGUUUGUCUAUUGUCUAGUCCAGGAACCAUUUGCUUACAAUUUAUAUCUUUAGACAUGUAGCUUAACUGUAUCCACUAUAACUUUUAAAAAAUUUUACAUGAACAUUCCAAAUACCCCAUGUCAAGCACCAGAUUUAACAAAUAGUAGCUGGGAUGACUGUAGUAGAUAUGAAUCCACUAUUCUAGUUGUGAAGGCAACCAAUGGUUCUCUUUCCAUGUAUUUUUAAUAUCCAGUUGUAGAGCAGAGGCCUCAAAACUAGAUGUUGGAUCUCCACUUUCUUUAUACAGCUCUUUGUUGUAGUAGUCUGGUUAGGCACCUCCAAGCAUUCAAUUAUUGAUUCAACUUUCAGGAUAGUUAAAGCCUAAAGUUUAAUGUCAACUUCUCGGGAUACUCAAUGUGCUUUCGUGGCUAUUAAGUACCGUUGAAAUCUAGGUCUAGCUCGGAUGAGUUGAACAAUUGAAAAUAAAAAAGAACCCAUGCUUGAUCCAUUUAUUGUAAGACUGGAUGGUCAUGCUGAGGAAGGAAAUCACCAUCGGUUCCACUAAGGAGCCCCUUAUCACUGGAUCUGUGGUGGAGGAGCCCUUCCUUUCUAGGUUCAUGGAGGAUAAGGCCAUGGACAUAAGAAGAUCUGUGACGGAAGCGCUUGUGAGCACCAACUCCAUGGCGGAGAGCUCAUCAUUGUGAAAAUCAUAAUGGAAGAGCCCAUGUUUUUUGGAUUUGCAGCAGAGGAACCUGUGGUUGCUUGAUCCAUAGUGAAGCUUGUGUCUGGAUCUUAUGGCUUUAGAGGUACCUCACCUUAGAUCUGAUGGAAUGGGGGUGAUGCCAUGAUCCCCAUGUCUUCUCUCUUCUUCUAGUUUUUGGUGAGACAUAAAGAGAGAGAGUGAGAGAGAGAAGGCGUAAGGGAAGGGGUUGGUCUGGCAUCUAGAGAAGUCCAGAAGAUGAAGGGGAAAGGGGAUCAUAGCAUCAUGGAGGAUAUUUGAGAACUAAGUCGAGAACAUGCAAUUAUGUAGGUGGACAGUUGACCCACCAUUGAAUUGUGGUCGAACCAGAAACCCAUGACUUGGCUAGCCUUGUAGGUUUGCUUGGAUCAAUGGGUUGAGAAUAUUUGUUUUCCAAUUUCGAUAUGGAGGAGCAUCUUAGAUACAAUAACAGGUACAUGAGUUGCAUCUAUGGUGUCAAUACAAUCCUGAAAUAACAGAUAAUAGAAUAAUAAAAAUAAUAUACUAAUUUGAGAAAAUAUAUAAAAAUGUUAUAUUUGUCAUUAUAAUGCUAUGUGCUAUACCUUGAAAUAGGGUCAAAAUUGAGGAUUAUUAUUCAUUUUUGGACAUGGUGGAUGUGUGACAUAAUCAUGUUCAAGUUCUGAAAUCGAUUAGGAGCUACUUGGAAGUGUCAAUGAGUGGUUUCACCACUAUAUUGAAAAAUUUCUUGCAAUGCUUGAUUACUUAUAUUUCUUGACAGUAUGUAAAUGAAUAUUAUGAGUUGCUCUUCCACUGUUACACCCUUGGAACGACUUAAAAGAUCUAUUUAUCGUAGAAGGUUUGCAACAUUUUGGAAAAUAUAUGGAUCCAUAUGAAAUUUGAACUUGCAACGAUCUUCAUGGCCUUCAAGAAUUUCUUUGAACUACAAAGCGCCAAUAAGAAUUGAAGUAUGGCUUAGCCUUUUUUCAUAAGUAGCAUAAAAAUAUGAUGUAAGAUGGAAUAGCAUCAUCCAAUCAUCUCAAUCUUUGCUCCACAAAACACCAGUAAAAAUUGAAUUAUGUCAUGACCUUUUUUUAUAAGCAGGAUAAAAAUUAUGAUGUAGGAUAGAAUAACAUCAUCCAAUCAUCUCCACUUUUCUCCUUGUUAACAUCCAUUGUUUGUCAUUUGAGUCCAUAAUGUAGAGUAGCGAGGAAUUUUUCUUUUUAUUUUUGUGAAAAAUGAGGAUAAAGGAAAUUAAAGAAAUAACUAAUCAUAUCCAAGGUCCAUAGUACCAGUAUUGGCACCCAUAUGGUUGACUGGCAGUAUGGUACGGUACGAUACUAUGGCAUGUCGUUCUGGCGCGUAUCGUCAAUGGAAAAUCUGAGAGGGAGGGGAGGAGAGAGAAAGAUUGGAGGGANNNNNNNNNNNNNNNNNNNNGAGCGGGAGAACGAGGGGCCCUCUAAAUUGUAACCCUAACCCUAAUCAAGAGAGAGAGGGGAGGGAGGGCAUACUGGAGAGAGAGCAUUAGCCUCUCGGACGGUGGAGGGGGUUGGGGUCACAAGCAUUGUGGGAUGGGGGGGCUCCAAACUAUAGCAUCAAACAGGAGGGGCCUCUUGAGUAGCGAAGGUGGGGGGUUGCAAGAGCCGUAGGGUGGGAGCGCUCCGAACCAUAGCAUCGGCGGCGGGGGGCGGGGGGAGGAUUUGGGCAUCAGGAGGAAGGAGGGAACAUCGGCCUCUCGAAUGGUGGAAGAGGGGGGUCACGAGCGUUGUGGGGUAAGGGGCUCCAAAUCGUAGCAUCGAGCAGGAGGAGAGAGGUGCCGGCCUCAAUCUUUCAAAUCGCCUCUCGAAUGCAAGUAGCUAAAGGCUUCUUGAGCAGCAUUUAAGCUAUCUCGUUUUAACUUGUUUAACCAUACUGAUAACCAACCAAUCCAAUUUGAUAUGCCCCAAAUCGGCCGUUACAGCACGGUUCGUUAAUCCCUAAUGAUAUCCUGCUAUGUUUGUUAGUCAUACAUGACGCAUGCCUUUCAGUGCCUAGGCACGCUUACCAUGAUGAGGUUAGAAGAGUGAAAUGGCAAUAUCUUAGGAUGAUAUCCUACUAUGUUUGUUAGUCAUACAUGACGCAUGCCUUUCAGUGCCUAGGCACGCUUACCAUGAUGUGGUUAGAAGAGUGAAAUGGCAAUAUCUUAGGUUAUGUGUACUUUAGGAAAUGAUAUAGCUUUUCAAUACUUAGUGGAUGAAACUUUAUUUUCCUAACCAUCAAUUUUGUUUGUUUGUUGAGUUUAUUUGACCCAAGGUUUAUCAUACCGUACCAAACCGAACGGUGCGGAUGUACCAUACCAUACCGGUUCGGUAUUGGUACAUAAUAUGGAGAGCAUAUCAAUACUUGGUACGUCGAACCGGCUCCGUAUUGUAUCGUAUUGAUACUGUGUUGGGGUGGCACUGGUACGGGGCUCGAUACCGAGACCGCAUACCUUGAUAUGUUCUCAACCAUCUUGGUACUAAUGUUGAGCUAUAUUAUUCUCCUAUAUAGUCCAUGCAUUAACCUUGGCAUCUAAAAUUAUGUCAAAUUGAGGCAUCUACCUGCUUCUACUUGCUGUGAACAUGGAAAAGGACAAAGAAGUAUAGAAUCAGAGAUGCCAAGUAGUUUGUCCCAGCAGGAUUUCAUGUGUAAUCUCAUAUGAUCAGAACCUGGAUCCUGUCAUGAGUUAUAUCCUAAGGAUAUAGAUCCUAAGUACCCAAGCACGCCCUUAAUUCUAUUCAUAUUAUGAUCUUGCAUCAAUCAAGAACUCCAAGAACACAUUAGGAACAGCAAAAAUAGUUAAAGAGAGGGCAAAUUGUUGGAGGCUGUCAUUCAGGGGAAAUCAAAUAUGGAUGGCUAUAGUAUAGAAGUAAUUUAUUGUGUAUGCUGCCUGGCACUUUAAUCCAUGAUCUACUGUUGAGUUAGCAUCAUGUGGGAAGCAAUGUAACCCAGACCAGAAAAAUGUGAUUCAAUUUGCCAAAUGGAACACUUGGACUUUAGUCAGUUGCACCUACCACACACCAACUCCCUGAAACUCCACUUGAGGCAUAACAUCAUCAUCAGGGAACCUUUUCUUUUAAGCAAUUUGUUGCACUGCUAACACCUUCUGUAAGUGCAACCACUAUCAUUUUUUCCAUCUGCAACUAGAAGCUUCUCUUUCUCUGACUUCUUGUAGGAAAUAUUAUGAGAUAAAAAAUUAAGAUGAAUACAGGAUAUUAUAAAGAUGGAAAAAAGGUAACUACAUUUCAUAGUAUGCAUAGAUUAAUAUUUCUUUCUGCUGAAUCAUAGGUUAUAUUUUGUCCAAUAACAUAGGGGAGACUUUACAAUACCCAUUAUUUAUUUGUUCAGAAACUACCUCGCUAGGCAAGACAAUUGUAUAAACAUGGGUGUUGAAGGCUUGAAUAUUUUCUAUGUUCUUUUCGAAAAAUUUUCCAGUGGAGAGUUCAGUUUUCAUUUAAAGCAUAGUCCAAUCAGUCCAAUCUCGUGAAAUUAUCUCUGGAGACUUAUCCAUUCUCCUUUGGGUAAGAGUUUGUGUUAGUAUGGUUGUAAGCAGAAACUGGUUGAGUCCUACAAGGUGCUGUCUUUGCGACCUUGAGGAUUGAGGCAUUAGUUUCAGGUCCGGGAUAAUCGCAAUGUGAUUUAUGUUGCAUGUACACGCAUUCGUACAUACAUAAUAUGAUCUCUUUUCUUUUUGAUGUGCUUCCUUCUUAUAAUAAUUUUUUGUGCGUGUUCCUGUGCUUUCUCCUCUUUUACCUACCAAAAGACAGCGAGCAUUCAGAUCUUAAAGAAGGCUGGUCGACCCUCAGAGCGUCUGGUGAGCCAUGAGCACUGCCGGUUUAACAAGCCACAACAGCAUGAGUGUGUGCAUGUCCGCAAGAUAACAGAAGAUGCUGGAACGGAGGAUGCUGAAGCUGAUGCCGAGUAUGAUGGUGCUCUCAAGGAAGCCAUCCGGGGUGUGCAGGAUGCAGUGACCAGCAUAAAUGAGCACCUGGAGGAGGUCCGCUAUGAGAUUGAGGCACUCGAGUCGGAAUAGUACAUAAUAAACUUAAAUCCAUGUGUUUCUGGCUUCACUGAAUCUGGAAAUGGUUCGAUUAUAUUUAACUGCAUAUUUACAGAAGAACGUAGAGUAGGCUGGAUUUUCUUAAAAAUAAUUCUUAUGUGAUUAUAAGAUUAUUAGUUUUCUGCAAAUGAAAAUGGCUAUUGUAAGUUAAAACCUGUGCUUCUUCAAUAUCUAUCUGUUGUUUUUGAUAUCCAGAAGGUUCAAAUGCAACAGAGAAGAGAUGGAAAAUUGUGCAGAACGACCUUUAGAUUUAAAAAAGGAUGUGUUAUACAGAGGUCUUUGGUUCACUGAAGGAUUUAUGACCAUUUUCAUUAUCCAGAACUAACCCUUGUUAGUAGACAGCUAGAUGGCUUUGCAAAGGAAACAUUUCCUUCUGAGGAAUGUGGAACUAAUAAUGUCUCAAUCUUUUGAGCUUUAACCAGUAGUGGUUUAAUGUGCUACAAGACAUGUGAGAUAUGAAACUAUAGUUAGUACAACUAGUGUUAAGUUGGAGAUGGUGGUUCCUUUAGUAGACUUUUGUGUUUGUUAAACAAAAACAGAGAAUGGAUCCAGUAUAUUCUUGUACAAAUAUUGUGAUGAUAACCCAAGAAGGAAAAUUGGGUUUUUCAAAAAAAUUUACAAAAUUUUUUACAUUCUAGGGUCAACUCGACUUGCACUAGGGUCGACUCGUGCUUGGUAGGAGUCGACUCAUGGUUCUUCAGGGUUGACUCGUUCAUUUCAAAAACUUCCAGAAUUCUUUAAAAACUUCUCCAACUUUGAGAAUUAUUCUUCUAGGCUUCUCUAACUUUUAUUUUCCAAAUUUUAUCUUACAUGAAUAACAUAACACUUAACAUAUUUUAAAAUAAUUAUUAUCAUAAUAAUAAUAACAUGACUCAUUUAAUCAAGUAUAAAAUAGAGAUCACAUUCAAAGUUAAUAAACUAAUUAUAACUUUACUAAAGGUCAGAAACUGUACUUUGAAAUAUUAGUUACUUACCUCUUCUCACUUCAAAAUCUCACUUCAGUUAGGCGGGUUAGGUUCACUUGUUUUAAUACCAUUAAUUUUAUCAUUAUCUUAGAAGCCAAGCAAAGUUAAAAAUUAAAAUACUGUUCGGGAUACGGCCUUAUGCCCAAAUCAGAGUGGAGGAAAAGAAAAGUCGAUCUGGCAAUAGUGCCCAACUUUUAGGUCGGUCCAAACAAUGUGAACUAAAUUGAUCAAGUUAAGCCAUGAUCCGAGUAACUCAAUAAAGGUCAAUAGUAACCAAAUUCUAACAAGGCUGGGGUAUUGAGUCGGUAUGCUCCUCAAGUAAUGAGGUGGUGCGGGGCCUCCAUGCUGGGUCAACUUGGAUCGAGCAAAAAGAGUCAUGGCUUUGAACUAAGAUCUCUGGAUCUUGCUUAGAGAGAGAGAUACUCGAUCUAAGGCUAGUUGGGCUUUUGAACAUGAUCCACUUAGUUUAGGUCCAAUCAGAUCUAGAUCAAUCGAUGUAUCUAGUCAACAAGUCAAGUAGAGAGAGAAAAAGAGGGUCGCCCCCUUUUGUUUAACAUAAUGAAUUAAUAGAAAAAAUAGGAAGAGUAGAAGAAAUAAGAAGAAAGCGGUGGAUACGAAGAGGAGGAAGAGAAUGAAGAGAGAAGAGAAGAGAAGAGACCAGGAUGAUGGUGGCCAGGCCAUGGCGGCAGAGUCAGCAGCCAGCCAAGAGCAGCUGGCGGUUGUAGCAACCAGCGAGAAAGGACCGAGCACGAGGGAGAACGGUGAAGCCUCAUUUUGGCCCAAAAAUAGGGGAAUGGCUAAGGCUAUAAAUGGGUCGGAUUAACCCAUGACCUGACCAUCUUAGACCCGAUCAAACCUGAUUUAAAGGACCCAUGGAGCCAGGUUGGGUUCUAAAAUUAGACCCAUUCUAUUUUAGGGGUCGGGUCUGAGUUGACUAAAUUCUGACCCAACCCGAUCCGACUCAUUUGAUUUUUGAGGCAAUUUUGGAUUUUUUACUCUAUGACCCGACCCUUUUAAUUUUUCUUUCAAUUUUGUAAAAUUUUCCUUGUUACUUUCAUAAAAUGGAGGAUACUGGGGGAUAAGCAUACUUAGAGUUCUAUUGCCUUUGGUAUGUUCUCUCUCUCACUAUAUGUGCCCACUUCAUUUUUAUGGAUAUUGUGGGAGAUGUUGAGUCUUUUUCUUUUGAUUCUCAUGAGACUAUAUAGACAUUGGUGUCAUGUUUGGGGAAGAGAAUAAGUUCAACAAUAACGAUCAAGAGAUCAAUUUCUACAAAUCAAUUGGGAGAAUCUUUUCCAAGAGUAGCCAGUUUGGAAUGGCAUUUUAAAUAGUGUGGGAAAUUUUCAAAAUAUUAUUAACAUUCGCACCCUAAGCAUUGACAUCCUUCUGGCCUCUGUCUCUUAAAAUUUCUAUAAGUAAUGGAUAUCAUGAAUCGCUAUAUUUGAAUUACUAUCAUUCAUAACACACCCAAAACUUCAUUUCCAGUAGCCAAAGAGGAACAUUUGGUUCGAACACAAGAAAUUUAUGCAAAUAGUAAAAAUUAUUUUAACGGUGAAGUGAAGCAAUGCCUGAACUUGGUGUCAGUAAACAGUUUGCUGAGUCAGAGAUAUAUCUUAACACUGCAAUGAAAAAUAAUUUUGCAACCCAAUUGAAAGUUUUCUCUAGGCUUACCAUACAAGCACUACAAGAUAGAGAAUUUCAUAGUUGACUCUAAUUCACUGGCUUAUUGGUUUAGGUUUCAGUGGAGUUUGGAUUUGUUAAUUGUACAUGAAUUUUUAUAGCGCAUUACGCAUAAAUACUGAAAUAUACUUCAUAUUUAUUUUGUAAAGUUGAAUGGGGUUCGGAUCCGACCCGAAACGGACCCAAAUUUUUUGGGUUGCGAUUGAGUUAUAUAUAGACCCGACCUGACUUGAUGACCCGUUGGGUUAAAAAUUGUAGCUGUAGACCCAACUCGAUCUUCUAUUGGAUUAGGUUUGGGUCCAAACUUAGGAUCCGAAUAAGAAACCGGGUUAGGUCAGGGUCACUCAUGACCCAGUUCGACCUAAUCCAUUUACACCCCUAAGAAUGGCUCAACAUAAAGAAUAAUGGAAGAGGAAGAGGAAAUGAAACUCACUGGUGUGUGUCGUAGAUAGUGGAUCUCGAGCGAGGACAGCUGGUUCCAACAGUUUUGUGGCAACGACGCUCAGAAUAGGAGAAAAAAAAAGAAGAACAUGGCAGUUGGGGAAGCUAGAGAGAAAGAGGAGAUCUCAAGCAACCGUGGUCGAUCAUGGUGGCACGGCGGCCACUGGAGACUGGGGAGAAAUAGAAAGAAGGCUCGGUGAUGGAUCAAGUGUAGGGGAAGGAGGGAUCUAUAGAGGAUUUUGGAUGGGGUUAGCUUGGCACUCGUUGCACCUACCCACAAUCAUCGUGGCGGUUGUGUGUGACCCAAAAGUCGGCAGCCGUUUGAACGGCCCAUGGAGUCGUCACUAGCCACGACUCCACGGCCUUAUCGUCUCAAUGGCUGGUGGAUCGGGUAGGGGAGUGCAGUUCCUCUAUUGCAAUCCAUAAUUUUUUCCAAUUUUCAAAUUGAAGUCGGUGGGUCUUGCCGACUUCAAUUCCAGAUAGGCCCAUAUGGGCCAGUUCUCACAUUUUUCAUAGAAAGAACUUGAAAAGAAAUGGAGCAACGGCUACGCUGAGGCAAGGCGAUAAGGACACCUUGUUUGCACAUCGAAGCCGGAAAAGCGGGAUACGUGGGCUUCUUCAGCUUUUGUCGAGGAGGCCUCGAUGCACAGGUGGAUGCCACCGAGGUGAUGGCAUAUAUUCAUGGGAAAGAGCCCAUGGAAUAGGCUGCUUUGAGGAAGGAUACUUGGGCCAAACUACUUUAUGGCAACUCUCCUUGUUUGGGAGGUUUAUGGGGCAUACUUUGCUUAUACCUGCUGUCAGAAGCUCUGCUGGUAGUGGCCGGUGACUGAGAACUACUUUGUACAAAUGGAAGAGGGGUUUUCUGUGCUUGAAUUCAGUCUCAAAUCUGAUGUGCUUAGUUUGCUAACAGAGGGACCACCAGUAGUGAAUGGGCAGUACUAAAUCUAAUCCAGUGGCAUUCUGGUUUCUGAUCUUGUGCCGAUGCCUGUGAGGUUGCUCAGGUGUGGAUCCAGAUGUCGCGUGUGUUAGCAAUGAGAAACACAAAUUCUAGAGAUUGAGGAUUGACUGGCAUGCCAGAUAGAUCAGGCAAUCAAUGUAGAUGUAGAUGAUCAGGAUAAAUUGACUUGGAGAAAUUGAAUGACAAGAAGAAUGGAUACAAGAAUGCAGAAAGAAAAUAUAGAUUAAUUUAAAGACAAGUAAGAAUUAUAACCUAAACUAGAAAAGAUCGAUGCAAGAAAGAAAGAUAAAAAAAAGAUAUAUGCGCAAAAUAAGUAUUUUAUGAGGGUAUAUAUGCAUGUAAUUAGCAUCUUUGUUAAGGUAUUCAUAUAAUUUUAUAUAUUUACAAGGAUAUAUAUGUAAAAAAAUCCUAAAUUAUAUUUAAGUUUAUCAACCAUAUUUGUCAAUUAUAAUAUUAGUCAAUUAUAUGAAUAUAUUAAACUUAGUGACAGAGGAUAGGCAUGGUGAUUAUUAAGCACUUAGUCCUCUGUAAAUCAAAGAUUAAAGGCAUGAAAAAUGAUUGCGUGAAAGAUAAUAAGAGGGGAAGAAGCAACAACACAAAAAACAGUUAUCAUUGAGUAUUCAUUUAUAGACAAUAAGAUUGAAAGAAGCAAUAAGAAGCAGCAGUCAUCACAACAAAACAAACAACAAUUAUUAUUUAAAUACUCAUAAUUCACUCAUGAAUAGUUAUAUUGCAUGAUUGAGUAGGUGGUGAUUUUUCUAACAAAACAUAAAUGACUUCCGGAACCAGGAGCAACUGGAUUCCUUAAAUUUCCCUUUGGAGAAUUUUGUGAUAGCGAUUCCAUGCACACACUGCAAGGAAAAGGCGGUUUGCCGGCCAUCUCUUGCCUAUAUUAGGGGUACGCAUCAUUAAUUGAGUGCUCACACAAUAAGAUCACGAUAUUUAUAAUAAGCAUCGAUGCUUAACGUUGCUUAUAAAUGUUGUCAGAUGCCAUCCACUACCACUCGAUGUUCUUUAGUAGGCAUCUCGAGAAGCCAUGCAAAAAAUGACGCUAAUAAGCACCAUCAAAAGCCAUCCACCACAAGUCGACGUUUUUGGGUAAGCAUGAUCGAACACCAGUAAAAGAUGAUACGAAGUGAGCCAUAUUAUUUCCAACCAAUCUCUUUCUCUAACAAUCCAACAGUACCCUAAUUUUCAGAUUCCUAAUUCUAGUGCUCUGCCGCCACCGCACGCCGAGCUCCUCUUCCUCCCCCGAGUUCUUCCGCCAAAGAACAGUGCUCCUCUGUCGGUAGCCUCAUGACGGUUUUAAAAAGCAUCAUCAUGUAGCGACAUUUAAAAGCGUUGCUAGCUUAAAAUGAUGCCACAAACGAAAAAGUGUUUUUUUUUUGUCUUUUUUUGCACUUGCAAACAUGAUGCUUCUUUGACGCUUGUUAUAGCGUCGGGACGUGCAAUGCUCAUAAGCAUCGGUAGAUGGCUUAAAAAAUGCUGGAAAUGCUAAUUUUUGCUGCAGUGAUAUUUUCAUUGAGGUAUUCAUGCAUUGGAUAUUGCUUGUAUAGUCACUGUCAAAUCAUAUCCAAUGUAGCACCUGUGUUCGUUGGUACAACCAAUUUGCAGAGCUAGACAAUUUGUCAUGCAUAUUUGCAGUCAUACCAUUGCAAUAUUUUAGCCUGCUAACUUCCAUAGAAUUUGAUCAGGUUGGUGUACUUAUUGAAGAGCCAUUCCUAAUGCUUGCACCCCAUUAACUGUGUAAACAGCUUGAUGACAGCAUCAGAGAGAACCAGGUUCACGGGAGACUUCUUGCCAAAAUGAACGGCCAGUCUGAUGGACAUUCUAUUCGUAGGUGGACUAGCCCUAAAGCUAAAUAGGGAUGCAGGGAUGAUAACUGAACUAAUAUUGGAAUAUCUGAAAUCAUUUAAGGGGAUCAUCACAGGAAAGGAAGUGUACGUACCUACCAAGGAUACAUGAAGCCUGCAUAUAUGGGUCCAACGAUGAGAAACUGGGUCGUUAAGGCAAGCAUUAUCUAAGGAACUAAGAUGUAAUUUGUACCAUACAGAGCAGUCCAUCUGGAAUAAAAGAACAAUAAUAAAGCUAUCAGAGGUAGAAAGAAAUGUUGGAUAGUUUGCUCUAAUGAUGUGAGAAUCAGUUUAUUAUGUAUUGGAUUAUUUCAAAAAUAUAAAAAUAUGUGGAUUAUUUAUGUCAUAACAAAAUACAAAUGCAUCAAACAAGACUGGGUUUGAUUUUAGCGUCCAAAAUAGAAUAUCCAUGGAUUGGACAAGCAUGGGUCCCAAACUACAACCCGACUAUCAAUUGGAUCAAUAUCAGAUCUCAAAAUAUGAGACUCAAUGGUCUAGUGCCUUACCUAGAUCAACCUUGGCUAGAAUCAUAUCUAGAUCUAGUACCCGCCCUACAGAUAAAAAAAAAAAAAUCGGACGUUUUUUAAUGUAUAUACCAAGGUAUGCCGUACCAGUACCAGUAGGCCUACCAGUCGCCUAUCAGACUGGUAUGAUACCGGUUCAGCAUGUCGGUACCAUUUUCGGUACUGGGCCCAUACCGAAAGAACCCAGCCAGAGCCGGAGAAGAAGAGAAGGAGAGAGCGAGCGGGGGAGGGAGACAAAAGGAGAGGCCUCCAUCGUCCGCGGAGGGCUGGCGGAGGCCGCACGGGGGGGAGGGGGGCGGCUAACGCCGCAGGGGCGCCCCCGCUCGUAGGAUCCGUAGCCCCCCCGCGGCCUCCGCGAGCCCCCUGCCGUGGGCAGCGGAGGCCUUUCCUUUUUUCCUCCCUCACCCACAUGCUCUCUCUUUCUCUUCUUCUUCUUCUCCGGCUCCGGUUGUGUUCUCUCGGUACAGCCUUGGUACUGUUUUCAACCCCCAUACAGUACCGGUCAGGGAUCGGACUGGUACGGUAUGUGCUGAAUCGACAGCAUACCAUGGUACAUACCAAUGCUUAUAAGCAUCGAUAUUUUUAUUGCCGACGCUUUCUAAAGCAUCGUAAAAGCAUCGGCAAUGUUAGCGUGAAAAUUUUAUUUGCCGAUGCUUUUAACAAGUGUCCACAAUAACAAACGCUUUACCAAUGCUUAUAAACAUCAGCCAUUGACGAUGCUUAUAAGCGUCGGUCUAUUUUCGAUGCUUAUAAGCAUCGGACCAUUGCCAAUGCUCAAAAGCGUCGGCCAUUUUCGAUGCUCAAAAGCAUCGGAAAUUUUGUUAUCGCCGACGCUUUUAAGUGUCGCAAUACUUAUUCUAAUGAUGCUUUAAAGCGUCAUUAGAGUUAUUUUUUUUAAAAAAAUUAUUUUAAAAAAAAUUUAAACUCUAUAUACAUUAUUUUUACCAAAUAAAAUAUAUAACAAAAAUCACAUUCAUAAUAAAAGUCACAUGUCACAAUCAAACGAAUCAUUCAAAUAUUUAUACUUCAAUAAUUUUUGGAGCGAGAGAAGAACUAUUUACACAUUUUUAAUAUAGACAUAAAAUCUGUCUAUUUAUAUUAGAUUUUUCAGAAGUAAAUUUAAUAAAAUUCUGAACCCCAUUCAAAUAUUCUUUGCUGGAUCUUGACUUAUUUAACCAACUUUUGCCUAUUAUAUUAGAAUAAUGAUUGAAUUACAACUUAUCUAAAAUAAAUAAAUAAAAUUAGAUACUAAGUGAAAAGUUGUCUGAAGCAAUCUAGCAAAAUCAACAUAUAUAGAAAGUAAAACCAAUCGAGCAAAAUGGUAAUAUAAGAUAAUUUUUUAUGUUGCUCAAUGCCUUGCUACCAAAAACUGAUAAGGAAAAAGACAUUACAAUAACAUUCAUCUCAUACAACACACUUAUGUAUGAUGAGUCAAAAUAAAUCGAAAGGUACCCCACCAAUCUAGACAACUCAUUCAGCAAAAAAAAUAUAGCAAAACUUUUGCUUAAAGUUCAAAUAGUCUGUUACAUUAUGAUAAAUAUGACUGUAAAAAACAUGACACACUUUACAAACAGUGUUAUCAUUUCAACAAAGUAUUAUACGAUAAUCUUAACCGCUAUUAUCUUUUGCACAUUUUGUAUAGUCAACAUCAAUUUAUAUCGAUAUUCUAUGAUUAUAUACAACACUAGAUACAUUAGAAAAUUAAAUAUUGUAAAUUACGGCAAUGUUAAAUAAUGCUAUCAUUUUCUGCUGCUACCCAUUAUUUUGCAUUAUAAUAUUACGUAUCAAUGGAAUCCGUAGCUAGGUUUUCUAAAAUAAUAGACCAAAUUAAAGUAGUGCUUAAGAAGGAAAAUAUUCAAGAAAUAGAAACUUACCAGCAGAGAUCCGCAUCCGAGGAGACGCCAGAGGAUGGUGGUCGGCCGGAUCUUCGAAGAACACCGUGGAUGGGUGGUGGGUAUGGACAGCGAGGAGGAGGAGGAAGUGGGAGACGCUAAAGAGGGAGAGGGAGAGGAGGAGGGGGAAGUGGGAGGUGCCAAAGAGGGAGAGCACACUACAGUAAAAGCUUGAAAAGCCGACGCUAGGGGAAAGCGUCAGCAUUUUAUACUCCCGCGCCAAACUUUUUCGACACUCUUGGGGAGGGUGGGUAAUUUAAAGUAGUGGGCGACGCUUAAAAGCGUCGUCGUAGACCUAAAGCCAAACGACGCUUUAAAGCGUCGUUAUUUUUGGCCUAAGACGACGCGUACAAGUGUGGGUAAUUGAAACGCUAAAACGACGCUUAUAAGCAUCGCUGAAGCCCCCUCAAAACCCAACGGCCGACCCCGAGCCCGCAUACUUGCCCUAGCUACUCCCGAGCCCCCUCAUUCUCCUCUCCAGCACUGCCCUUGCCUUCGUCUCCGGCGCUGCCUUAGCCCCCAUCUUCCUCCUCUCCGGCACGGACCGUCCGGCUCCUACCUCCUCUCCUCCUCCCUCCUCUCCGGCGUCGACCGACCGACCCCAACGCGCUCCGCCCGAGGUAAUUUUCUCCUACUCCCUCCUCUCCCUCCGUCUCGCUUGUUCUCCUAUUCUCCUCCUCCUCUUCUUUGGGUGUUCGUGGGUUUUUUUCCUUCUUUAAUUUGUUCUCUUGCCCUCAAGCCUUGAUCGCUUCGCCUCCGCCCGAGGAUCUUCUCCUCCUCCCUCCUCUCCGGCGUCGACCGACCGGNNNNNNNNNNNNNNNNNNNNNNNNNNNNNNNNNNNNNNNNNNNNNNNNNNNNNNNNNNNNNNNNNNNNNNNNNNNNNNNNNNNNNNNNNNNNNNNNNNNNNNNNNNNNNNNNNNNNNNNNNNNNNNNNNNNNNNNNNNNNNNNNNNNNNNNNNNNNNNNNNNNNNNNNNNNNNNNNNNNNNNNNNNNNNNNNNNNNNNNNNNNNNNNNNNNNNNNNNNNNNNNNNNNNNNNNNNNNNNNNNNNNNNNNNNNNNNNNNNNNNNNNNNNNNNNNNNNNNNNNNNNNNNNNNNNNNNNNNNNNNNNNNNNNNNNNNNNNNNNNNNNNNNNNNNNNNNNNNNNNNNNNNNNNAAAAAAAAAGGCAAGCUGGCUGCAUAAGAUGGCAAGCUGGUUGGGAGAGAAAAGGGAAUGGAUUCAGGGGAGGAAAGCCAGCCCUCCUCUAUUUCAGGCCGUUACACCUUGUGUCUGCUUAGUGUUAGAAUGGCUUCAAACAAUGAAAACAAAGUAGCAAGAGAUGGAGAUAGGCCUCCUAAGCCAUGGUUCAAGUUGCCUAAAGGUUACAUACUUUAACAUGGCGCUAUCAAAUAUUAAUUGCAUCUUUUAAGGAAUGGAGGAUGCUGCAAGUGAGUAUGUUAGCUAUCAAAAUAGUGAACAACAUUGCACAGUUGGAAGUUUUGCAGCAACGGAUGAUAUAAGCAGCUUUCUUGCUGUUGCUAUUUUUCCUCUUCGCUUUGGGACGCGAGGGAGUUUUGAAGGACCUUCGGCAAAAAAGUAUUUAGCUGGGUCCUGUCUGAAGUGGACCUAUGGGUGUCUAAUACUGUCAUUUCAUAAAACUGGCUGAUUUGGGAUAUUACUGUUGUAUCUCCAAACAUGACUUCUGCGGACUAGGUUAUUUGAAAUUAAUGUUUCCACUCCUGCUUGAAUGUAGGGUAUGUUCGCUGAAUCUCCUUCAAAUCCUUAAAAAAAAAUCUCCUUGAUGGCGUCUUGUAUAAACUCUCAGGUUUUGUAAAGUUAUUUUAUUCUUUAGAAGUUAAGUUUUGCAAUUUAAUGUUGAUCAAUUACUUGUUCUCAAUUUCUCCUAUUUCAUUGCCUUAAUGUUCAAACAAGAAUCUUAUUUUAUUUUUAACAGAGGGUUCAGAGCUCAGGGGCAGUGCAAUUUGAGAAAUUUAUAUUAGAAAUAUGAUUUGAAUUGUUUAUGUUGUUCAUAGUAUUGAUGUGCUUUAUAUACAAGUUGAGCUCUCAGAUAGUAGAAUACAACAACAAAAUUUUAUAAUUAUAAAAAGAUACUAGGGACUAGAUAUAAUAUAAUACAAUAGCAAAAUUCUAUAAUUUGAUAUAAAUACUAAAUUUGAAUAUAACAAUUAGAUCCUAUGAUUUUUGGAGAUUGAUCUAAGCUGAUAUAUCAAGAUUGUGCAUACAAUAUGUGACAGUUAUGAUAUCCAAUAUCCUAUAUACUGUAAUAAGUGAGAUUGUGCAUAAUUAUGAGUUGUAAUACAAUUGACUAGAAGUCCUUUACUUCCUCCACCAUUACUCAAAAAAAGAAGAAGAAGCAAGAAACGUAUAAAUUAUAAAUUAUCUGAGAUAUGGCUAAAUGUAGUUAUAUACAUGCCAACUUAUUUUCUAUCUGAUCUGGUGCUGAUCUCUUGUAACAUAUGUGGUUGUCUAACAUCAUAUUGAAAAUGAUUUCAAGCGGCCAGAUUCUUUUUAUAGAUCUUUUGUUUUUGCUGGUGUUGUCAUUUGCUCUAAAAGGGAUUUGUAAUCCUCCCUCCUAGUCUUUUUGUAGCAUUAACUAUUCUUGCUUUCUCAAUCUGUGAAGGCCUUGUAUGCAUAAACUACUAUAUUUACGAUGGCUUUUUACAUCAUCUGCUGUGAAUUCUCUGUGAAAGUUACUGCUUUCUUCUGAAAAAUUCUGUGUCCUGGAGCUAGAAUGGACAGGGGAUCAUAAAUAGCUUUCCUUCGGGCAAAUAUCUCCCAGCUGGCCCCAAAGUGGGCUUUCCACUCUUCCUUCGUGGUGUAGUGCGGCAAGUAUUGCUUCAUUCUGAUACCUGCUUUCUUACAGAAGUCUAAAAUCUUAUCGUUCUGUUUCAGUGCAUGCUCUAAACUGUCAUGAUCUGAUAAAGACGGUGCCGAGGAAAGGAAUGCCACCAGGUAGAAGACUUCCUCAUCUGGAAUGACCGCUGAUGUUCUAUUGUCCCACCUGCAGCCAAAACAUACAGUUUAAACCAUUGGCCACUGAUGAUUUUAACAUGGUAUCACAACAGAGGUCUUGAGUUUGAACCCUGUCUCUGCACUCUUUAACCCCAUUAUUAAAAAUUUCACAUGUUGGGCUCACCCAUUAAAGAGAAGUCCGGCCACAUGUGAGGGGGAGUGUAAGAAAAUAUAAAAUAUAUAAAUAAAUCUAUCUCAUCCUAUCAGCUUAAGCUUUUGGGACAAGCGGUGAUUAUAACAUAUUAGGGGAUGACAGUGGGCAGGCAAAUUAAAUUACUUGGAUCUGUUAAGUGGAUACAGGAGUAUGGGACCAUUGCUGCUAUCAGUAAGAAUUUUGCCUAGGACUUCUUUAGCGAAUUCAUGGAUUCUGGUUCUUGGUAUGAGAAGAUUUAACCAUGGGUGUGGAACUUCCCACAAGCCUUGGGACCUCAACUUCACUUCAGAGACAUGUACUCUGUCCAAGAACUCCAUGUACGACACCUCCGACUGGAACAAAGUGGAUGGUAUGUACCGAAGUUUAGACAGAAGUGUUUCAACUUCCUGCAAUCAAAGAGGACAAUUUGAUUUUAGAAACCAUUCUUUCUUCUUUUUUUUUCUUGCACUCUCAUGCUUCAGCAAUCAUGGAGAUGAUGUUGGUUGGAGAGGGUCACCUGGUUCAUCAUCUCAGUCUCGUCGGGAUUGAAGUUUUUAGUCAUCUCAAGGCAGAACAGGAUCUUCCCGUCGGAGUUGAAUUGGCCGGCUUGAACAGGGUCCUUCGGGUUGAACGAAGAUCUCCAAUUGUUCAGAAGUCCUGUCCUGUUUAUUAUUACAAAGCCUUCGAUGUAGUCGAAAGUCUUCUCUUCUGAUAUUAGCAUUUCCUGGUCCUCAGUAAAGCUGGUGAAAUCCGAGUAUAAAACUCUUAUCCACUUCACCUGUGAGAAAUUCAUGGUAGCCUCGUUAGGAAUGAUUGCCAUUGCUCUGGUUGCUGCUAUCAUUAUACUAUCGAAACUGGAAAUAUAUCCUUUAUAUUACCAUCUUUGGGGCUGGUUCAAGUGCAAUUCUGGCCCUGGUGAUGAUUCCAAACUGACCUAAACCUCCAAGAACACCAAAGAAGAGGUCAGCAUUCUCCUUGGUAGAGCAGUUCGUUAUUUCUCCUGUUCCUGCACUCAAUACUAAGAGAAUCAAAUGGAAAGAUCUAAUGCUGUUACAUUGAACAACUUGUACUACUGCUCAUGAGAUGAAACCUGUUACAACUUGCAGCUGGUGGACGUUGCUGAUCUGCGGCCCAUGCCGGAAGGCCUGCCCACUGAUCCCAGCAUUCGACAGCGUGCCCCCGACGGUAAGGUGGAGGUAGUCAGUCCAGGAUUUCGGUGCGAGGCCAUGCUUAAGGCUCUCCAGUAGAACAUGGAUCCACAGUUCACCUCCGGAGGCAUCGACAUAUGGGAAAUCUCCGGCAUGCACCUGGGUCUCGGUUGCCCGAAGAUACUUCAUGUGGACGACAACACCCCCAGGCGCUUGAGCCUGGCCUUGCAGCGAAUGCCCAUGGCCUCGAGCUGCAACCGCGAGCUUGGAGCGCGGGCCCAUUUGAAAGACAUGCUUUACCGUGGCUGAGAUAUCGGCAACUGAUCGAGGAUAAAGGACUGCUGAUGGUAAGAAUUGGAAGCGGUUGCCGAAGUCUUUGGCGGCAUGGGAGAUAUUAUGGAAGCUGAGAUGGCCCUCGAGAGCUAGUGUUCUGAGGGAGGAAGGCACGUCAGGGUCAGAAACAUGCAUGGCGAUACCGCUGAGUACUAAGACCAUGAAGAGUUUAAGGAAGCCGACGUUCUGUUGUCUAUGGCAAUGCAUGGGUGAUGGUCUCAUGACUACUAAUGAUGGUAGCAAUUGGGUCGGAAGAGGAUGGGGGGAGGGGUGUGGGAAGAGCAGAGGAAACGAAGGGAAAGGUGUAUUUUAAAGGGAGAGGUAAGGGGGGGAGGGGUGUUUGCGGGGUUGGGUUAUUGGGUAGUGGUAUGGUCAACCAAUCUUCUUCUUGUGCGUGUGAUAGAAUCCGUAAGAGGACCGGCUACUUGGAUUGGGGGAGUGUUGAAGAUCUCUUUUUGAAACCUCCGCUUUCCGCUUUUUGUGUUCUGUUUUCAGGAAGAGAGAUGUUAGCUAAAGCAAAGGAGAUAGUGAUGCUUGUGCGAGGAGAAAUUAUAUCCUAUACCAGAUGAUGGUGCUAGUUUUAUGGAUCUUAUUUAUCAAGUGCUCAUCUUGAUGCAGCCAAAGAAAUAAAAUAUCUAUGAUGGAUAUGUUAUACCGCCACAUGGUGUAAGAUAUAAUUUUUUAUAUGUAUGUGUGUAUGCGUGUGAAAGAGAAAGAGAAAGAGAGAAGGAAACAGAAGGGCUUCUCCCACACGUUCUCAAGUUCCAAGUGCAAUCACCCAAGGGUCCAGAGGUUCUAGAAUUUUUACCAUGGCCUUAUCGGCCCCACCAGGAGCUAGUGGGGGAUUCCGAGAUCCUGGUGGUGGGGGUGGAGGCACAGGGAUGAUAUACCUUUCAAAAGAGAGAGGUCAGUUGAAUUAAAAAUGGUUGCUCUUCUGAAACUUGUGGUCCUUACUUCCCGGCCUAGGGACAAGCCUCAAUAAACAAAACCAUCUUCCCCCGGAGUCAAUAGGAACACAUUGAAGAAGGUCUCAUGAUUGGGCCAAGCGACUCCAAUGCAUCCAUGGUGUGACAUGUUGUGGUGGGGUGUGCAUGCAACAGUAGUCAAAGGUUAAACCACUAGCUGUUAACCCUAAUGCGGGGACAUAUGGGACCAUAAUCAUCAUUCUUGAGCUGUUAAAUCUUGACCUGGACUCGACCUGUUUAUUUGAAUGCAAAGACAUGGGUCUAUAUAUCUUUUUCUCUUUGAACUAUUUCCGUUCAGAUUUAAUUAGGUCCAACCAAAUUAUCCCAUCUGCUUUAAAACUAAAGCUAAAUUGCGUUGGAGACCAGCUAUAGGACCCUAGGAUAGACCGAUAAGCUGGCUCAGGUCAAAAUUAGGUAUCGGUGCCGGGCGGCUGACCCACUCGCACCCUAGCUAACUAGCUCUACUUCAGUAUGAAGUAUAAGCAGUGCUAAAGCUUUGUUUUUUUAUUUAGCAAUGCGAUGAUACCAUCAUGUAGCUAUGCAAAUGGCAAUCCUUUAUCAGGGAGUAGUUGAUGCCUGUACACUAGUUUUAGCCAACCGUGGCCUAACAUCCAGUUGUGUGCAAGUAACAAAGCUUAGAACCUCCCUUUGAUUAGUUUUUCAGCCUCUUUCUUCGUGUAUGCUUCCAUAACAACAAGCGUACGAGGAUUUUAUAGUGGGAUACGGUAUCCGGGUCUCUUUUUUUGCACCAAUGAUAGAGGGAAGAAGCCCACAGAUUGCAGAAAGGUCAAAAAAGAUGUGUCACAUUUUUCUCAUGCUAGCUCGAUGGGGCUAUUAAGCCUUUUUUGUGGGGCAGAAAGAGAAACUUGAAGUCAUCUCUAUUUAAAAAAAACUUGCGUUUCCUUUUGGCAGUCAUCAAGCUUGAGUUCAUGAAAGGUCAAUGGCAAAGCUGAAAGUGGGUUGGGGAGAUUGCAGGCGAUCUUGUCUCGACCAAAUUUUGACCGGGCCUACGCUCGCAAUUUGGAUCCAUGGAUCUACCCUAGUCCCCAUCUUUAUGGAGGAAAAGUGGACUUUUUUUGAGCGAAAAUGGAGAAAAAAUGGAGUAACCAAACCCCAAUAUUGCAUAUGAUUUGUAGUGGUUCAAAAAUUAGGGUUGGGUUAGGCCUUAAUGCAACAUUGGCCAUCCUUGUGCAACACAUAGGCACAUGUUGCCUUUGGCAAAUAUCUUGUGCAUAUCGAAUCAUGAUAAAUGUCUAAAAAAAUAUUAGCGUUUUCUUUUCUUUGAAGCAAAAGUUUAAGUGAUAUAAAAAAUCAGUUCUAAUCAGGCUAGAUUUAGUAUUAUAAACUAACCCAAAUUCUAUGGAAUAAAUAAUGUGAUAUAAGUCCAACUUCUGCUUUGUGAACCACUUUGGACCACUUAUGCAUGAUGCUCCAGCGUACCUACAAGAAGAAAAUUCUGAAGGACAAUUUGAUUAGACUAGUUCGAACCUUUGGCACCUUUCAAUCCACCAAGGGAUGAAAGAAUAAAGUCUGAUCAUGUUUGAAGCCAGAAUUAGAAUCUGGCGUAGGGGUGGGCUUGGAAUCCCACAUGCAGACAUCAAUUCCGAUUCAUAUCAAGAAAACUUAAAUGCUUGAUCCAAUUGAAUAAGAACUAGUUGAGCUAAACAAAUAACUAGUGAUUAUAAAAGAUUAUGGCAAAAUAUUAAGACCAAGCUUAAUUUGUCCAAGGCUAAAUUAACCCAAUCUAACUCAUUUAGCACGUUGACAGAAAUGUGAAACAUGACUUAAAAAAAAAAAAAAAGAUGCUUUGAUCAUGGCUGACACCCAUCUUGCCUACGGAGCUAUCACAACCAAGAAAUAAAAAAAUGUGGGGCUUUCAACAGGUUGGGUGAAGGGUUGGCAGGCCGUGUCUUAGGUGUUUGAAGGAAGCAAUUCCAGAGGAGAUGAUAGCCACAUAAAAGGAAAAGAAAACCGUGUUUCUCUACCUUUUUGUUGGAAAAAUCCGUGUUUCCUUUAUGUGCUUCUAUUUUGCUCCAUUGGCUUAAGAUGUGGUACUAUAUCUUGAGAAAUUAUACCCUAUUCCUUGCACACCAUAUAGCCGUGCACCAUGCUAAUCAUCUCAUCUUCUUUCUAUGGGCUCGUCUUCAUGAUUGGCUUAUGGCAAAGAAACGAGAUGAUUCUGGUGUGGUGCACAAAUCAUAUUGGUGCAUGCGGUGUAGAGUAUUAUUUGUCCUACAUCUUUUAGAAGUCCAGCAAGAUAUGGCAACCUAUGUACUACUCAUUACUAUUGCCACAUCAUCAGCCUCAUCAUAAUCAUCGACUCCACCACCAUUAACAAUAUCAUGCCAUGUGAGACUAAAUAAUCCAUGCUGCGGAGUGGUUUAAGAAACCAGGAGGGCCACCUAGGAUCAAUGGGGUAAGGGGAUAAUAAACUUGAGGAUCAUUUCAUGUCUCCUCCAACUCACCACAUUCAAUUGACAUCUUGUCUCCUUGACUCUCUCUCCAGCCUUUUCUCAGCAAAACAACCCACCCUAUUCAUCCUGCCUCUUUGUCAUUGCCAAGUCAUCUCCUAUAACCCCUACCAUCUAUUCAUUGUGGUUGCAUAUUCUCCCUGCCCUUCACAACUUUCUUGGGUGAUAUAAUUGAUAAAUAUGAAAGACAUUUCUCAACAAUGUUGGCACACCUUGUAAUGAUGAAUUCUUUACAAGUGAUCAUGCAAUAACUAGUGCAAAUAUAAAUUAUUUGAAAUAGCAUACCAAAUUUAAAAUAUAGACCGAUUUUUCUAUCAUUCUACAUAAUGUGCAUCACAAUCUUAAAUGGUUGACCUUUGCACCAAGAAAAAUAUUGUGUUUCCUUUAUUUUAUUAGACAACUCAAUCCAAGGUCAGUAAUAGACUCUUCAACCAAGAAAAAGAAAAAAAAAUCAAACAAAGCGAUGGAUGCACGUCCUAGUUCAUUUAAUCAAUGAUUUGACUAUUUGAGCGAAUCUUACUAGCAUCGAGCUCUAAACAUAAAUUUCUUUGUGACAUAAGGUUGACUUCACUAUCUAAUUUAGUACAGAAUAUAAAAAUCAACAUUCUAAGAGGCUUUGCAUCUGAAAGGAAAAAAGAAUGGAUACAUGGAUGCACGCUAUCUUAUGCUUGACCAAUGAUAUGAGGGCUGCUGCACUAGCAUUAUGCUUCGAAUACGAAAAUCUAAAUAAUAAAAAAUAAACUUUGCUAUAUGAUAUAGUGCUAUCUGAAAGUCAUUCCACUAAAAAAGACCAUUUAACAAAAAUAAAUCCAUACAAGAUAUGAAAUUUGAAUAGGAAUUAGCUGACCCCUUCAAGUAUUUGGAGAAGUUAAGAUCAUUGACCACUAUUUUAUUUUUAGACUUUGUUGGAUAAAAAUUUUAUUCCUGUCCUUGAUUUCAAUCGCCAUUCUAUUUUUAUUCUCAUCCUUUAAAAUAAGCUAACAAUCACUCAAGAAAUAAAAAUAAGGUUUCUACUUCUUAGUGGAUCCAAACUUUGGUGCUUGAUCAUGUGCACGCAAGUUUGCAUGUAUGUGCAUGCAUGCAAAGACAUAAGAAGUAUGAUAUUUGGAAAAGAAUGAAUAAAUCCCUUGAUAAGUUCUGGCAUUUGUCUUUAAAUAGGAGAUAAAGUUUCCCCCUUAUACUAGGGAUAAGAAUGGUUUGGAUCAAGGGACUAUGUCAGAAAUAGAUGAGAUUUUCGUUGAUGUCUCGUCCUCUUGAAUAAUAUCCUAACUAGGAUGCACUUACAAAUAGUUCUCUGCAGGUGUCAACUUUAAUGACAACAUAACCUCCUCAAACA
rnacentral:lncRNA from 1 species